rnacentral:tmRNA from 1 species
GGGGCCGCCCUGGUUUCGACGGGGAUGAUGAGGCCAAAGUUGCAGGUCGAGGGGCUGGGUGGCCUCGUUAAAACCCAGUGCAAACAUAAUUGCCAACGACAAUUAUGACUACGCAAUGGCUGCCUAGUUUUAGGUAAGUAUUGCUUGGCGACGUAAGACUCGCCACAUCUGGACGGUGGAUGUCUGAUAAUCCGUAUCCGGGUGUCAAACCCCAUCAGGCUGGCGAAAGGUUGCUGUCUGGACAGCCAAUCGCGAGAUAAAAUCCGGGCUGGCUUUUGGGACGUUUGUUCACGGACUCACCCGAAGGCAAGAACCAAAACAUGAACUAAACCUGUAGAUGCUUUGCGCUAAGUGUUCUCGGACGGGAGUUCGAUUCUCCCCGGCUCCACCA